GCGGGUAACCUUGAAGGCGCCCUCGAGUGAGUGCGUGCAUGCGCGGCGGCCGUGGCGAGCUGGCACACCCGGCUAGACGGGAGGCGGGAGCUGGGAGCAGGGAAUGGGGAGCCGGCCCCAGCGCCCUGAGAGUUGUGGGCGACCCCGACAGCCAGCUCCCGGUGCUGGCCCUCCAGCAGCCCUCCGGCAGAAUGGUGCUGGCCCCGGGGCUGCGGCCGGAGGGCGGCGCGCGAGCUGGGGCGAGCAGGCCGGUGAGCGCCUAGCUCUCCGCGGAGGUGAGCUGGUGGCCCGAGCUGCAGGCGGGCUGCAGCCACUCGGUGCCCCACGCCGCCAAAACCCGUGCUCCCCUCCUCCGCUGGCGAUGACAGCUGAGGACAGCCAGGCUCCCAGCCUGGCAAGAGGCAAAUUCUUUGGUUUCUUAGCCUUUUGGACUAUUCGCAAAAUUGCCCUAUAGUUUUGCUUUUCCUCCCUAAUUUAUUUGACAUCCAGAACCGAAAAUGCACGUUCAUUCAGAAAGACCCCAGCCUGAACAGUGAUCUUCUAGGCCCCUGGGGUGUGCAGAAGAACACCUAGGAGUCUCUCUCUCUCUUUUUUUUUCUUCCAAUCUUCAGCGAUGCCUCAAAGGAAUCACCCUUCUCUCUUGGCAAAUGAAGGUUCCUGUGAAAUAUUUUUGUCUGUGUAGAAACGUUGUGUGGACUUUAGGUGUCAGAAUGUGGUUUUGGAAUUUUCUGUGUUGUCUUUAAUUCUCACCAGACAUUUAAAAAAAAAAAAAAAACAGCUUGGUAACGGCCGGCGGCAAGUGAGCAAAGGUUAUCCCUGCCACCACAGCACCUGCAAAAGCACAAGUGGAAUUCACACAUUUUGCUUCCCAUGUUCUAAAAUGGAUUCUGAACCGUCCAGAGAAACCAGCACAUAGACGGAAGGGGACCUGAGAUGAAAGCAGAGUUUGCACAUUUUUAAAUUACACAGGUGAGCUCAUUUUCACUACUGACCCCGGAAAGGAUGCAGAGUCUCACUAUGUCACCCAGACUGGCCUGGAACUCUUGGGCUCAAGCCAUCUUCCUGCCUUAGUUCCUGAGCUGCUGGGACUACUGGCACGUGCUUCUUGAUGUGAUGCAGUGGGAAGUACACAACAUCACUUGUGAAAUAUUCUUACCAAGAAUGUAUAAUGUAAUCUUGAGAAGUCCAUCAAAUAAACACAGAUGGUGAGACAUUCUAUGAAA